rnacentral:rRNA from 1 species
AUCGAUGAAGAACGCAGCGAAAUGCGAUAAGUAAUGUGAAUUGCAGAAUUCAGUGAAUCAUCGAAUCUUUGAACGCACCUUGCGCCCCUUGGCUAUUCCGAGGGGCAUGCCUGUUUGAGUAUCAUGAACACCUCAACUCUCAUGGUUUGCCAUGAUGAGUUGGACUCUGGGGGUUUUUGCUGGCCUGUGGUCGGCUCCUCUCAAAUUAAUCAGCCUCCCAGUGUUUGGUGGCAUCACGGGUGUGAUAAAUAUCUACGCUCGCUGUUGUCUGCCAGGUAACCUUUGGUCACAAAGGUUUGCUGGAGCUCACAGAUGUCUCUCCUCAGCGAGGACAGCUUUUUAACGUUCGAUCUCAAAUCAGGUAGGACUACCCGCUGAACUUAA